rnacentral:rRNA from 1 species
GACGAACGCUGGCGGCGUGCCUAAUACAUGCAAGUCGAGCGGAUUGAUGGGAGCUUGCUCCCUGAUAUUAGCGGCGGACGGGUGAGUAACACGUGGGCAACCUGCCCUGCAGAUGGGGAUAACUCCGGGAAACCGGGGCUAAUACCGAAUAAUCAGUUCUUCCGCAUGGAAGAACUCUGAAAGACGGUUUCGGCUGUCACUGCAGGAUGGGCCCGCGGCGCAUUAGCUAGUUGGUGGGGUAAUGGCCUACCAAGGCGACGAUGCGUAGCCGACCUGAGAGGGUGAUCGGCCACACUGGGACUGAGACACGGCCCAGACUCCUACGGGAGGCAGCAGUAGGGAAUCUUCCACAAUGGACGAAAGUCUGAUGGAGCAACGCCGCGUGAGUGAAGAAGGUUUUCGGAUCGUAAAGCUCUGUUGUGAGGGAAGAACAAGUACGGGAGUAACUGCCCGUACCUUGACG